rnacentral:ncRNA from 1 species
CGUUCUCAGGGCGGGGUGAAAUUCCCCACCGGCGGUAAGCAGCUGUGCUGUAAGCCCGCGAGCGGCAUCUAUGAGAUGCGUCCACGGCCCGAAAAGUGGGUACCGGUUUUCGGACCAAGCAGUGGAGCCCUUAAAGAUGUGUCAGCAGAUCAGGUGCAACUCCUGAGCCGACGGUCAUAGUCCGGAUGGAAGAGAGCG